UACGUAGGUGGCAAGCGUUGUCCGGAUUUACUGGGCGUAAAGAGCGCGCAGGCGGUCGUUCAAGUCGCGUGUGAAAGCCCCCGGCUCAACUGGGGAGGGUCACGCGAUACUGAUCGACUCGAAGGCAGGAGAGGGUAGUGGAAUUCCCGGUGUAGUGGUGAAAUGCGUAGAUAUCGGGAGGAACACCAGUGGCCGAAGGCGACUACCUGGCCUGUUCUUGACGCUGAGGCGCGAAAGCGUGGGGAGCAA
rnacentral:rRNA from 1 species